rnacentral:rRNA from 1 species
GUGAGGAAUUUUCCGCAAUGGGCGAAAGCCUGACGGAGCAAUGCCGCGUGAAGGAUGAAGGCCUAUGGGUUGUAAACUUCUUUUCUCAGAAAAGAAUUAUGACGGUAUCUGAGGAAUAAGCAUCGGCUAACUCUGUGCCAGCAGCCGCGGUAAGACAGAGGCUGCAAGCGUUAUCCGGAAUGAUUGGGCGUAAAGCGUCUGUAGGUUGUUUAAAAAGUAUUCUGUCAAAGAUUAGGGCUUAACCCUAGAUAGGCAGAAUAAACUUUUAAGCUAGAGUUUGGUAGAGGCAGAGGGAAUUCCCGGUGGAGCGGUGAAAUGCGUAGAUAUCGGGAGGAACACCAAAGGCGAAGGCACUCUGCUGGGCCAAUACUAACACUGAGAGACGAAAGCGAGGGGAGCAAAUGGGAUUAGAAACCCUAGUAGUCC